rnacentral:rRNA from 1 species
CCUACGGGUGGCUGCAGUGGGGAAUAUUGGACAAUGGGCGAAAGCCUGAUCCAGCCAUGCCGCGUGUGUGAAGAAGGCCUUCGGGUUGUAAAGCACUUUCAGUGGGGAAGAAAGCCUUGGGGCUAAUACCCUAGAGGAAGGACAUCACCCACAGAAGAAGCACCGGCUAACUCCGUGCCAGCAGCCGCGGUAAUACGUAGGGUGCGAGCGUUAAUCGGAAUUACUGGGCGUAAAGCGCGCGUAGGCGGUCUGAUAAGCCGGUUGUGAAAGCCCAGGGCUCAACCUGGGAACGGCAUUCGGAACUGUCAGGCUUGAGUGCAGGAGAGAAAGGUAGAAUUCCCGGUGUAGCGGUGAAAUGCGUAGAGAUCGGGAGGAACACCAGUGGCGAAGGCGGCCUUCUGGACUGAAACUGACGCUGAGGUGCGAAAGCGUGGGUAGCAAACAGGAUUAGAUACCCGAGUAGUC